rnacentral:rRNA from 1 species
GAGUGGGUGGGGUAAGGGCUCCCCAGGGGGGGGAUCCCUAGUUGGGUGGGAGAGGGAGGUCCAGCCCCCCUGAAACUGAAGCCCCGGCCCAGAUUCUUACGGGGGGCGAGCAGGGGGGAAUUUUCCCCAAUGGGGCCAAGCUUUAAGCCCACCCAGCCGAGGGUUAAAAAAAAGGCCUUUGGGGUGGUAAAGACUUUCCAGUGGGGGGAAAGGUUCAUACGUUAAUAGGGAAUGGAUUUGCCGUUAGCGCCAAAAGAAGCCCCGGCUAGCUCCGUGCCCAGCAGCCGCGGUAAUACGGAGGGUGCGAGCGUUAAUCGGAAUUACUGGGCGUAAAGCGCAUGCAGGUGGUUCGUUAAGUCAGAUGUGAAAGCCCGAGGCUCAACCUCGGAACUGCAUUUGAAACUGGCGGACUAGAGUACUGUAGAGGGGGGUAGAAUUUCAGGUGUAGCGGUGAAAUGCGUAGAGAUCUGAAGGAAUACCAGUGGCGAAGGCGGCCCCCUGGACAGAUACUGACACUCAGAUGCGAAAGCGUGGGGAGCAAACAGGAUUAGAUACCCUGGUAGUCCACGCCGUAAACGAUG